rnacentral:rRNA from 1 species
CCUACGGGAGGCAGCAGUGGGGGAUAUUGCACAAUGGGGGGAACCCUGAUGCAGCGACGCCGCGUGGGUGAAGGAGUGCUUCGGCAUGUAAAGCCCUAUCGGCAGGGAAGAAGCAAUACGGUACCUGACUAAGAAGCCUCGGCUAACUACGUGCCAGCAGCCGCGGUAAUACGUAGGGGGCGAGCGUUAUCCGGAUUCACUGGGGGAAAGGGAUCGUAGAUGGUCAAGCAAGACAGGGGUGAAAGCCCGGGGUCCAACCCCGGGACUGCCCUGGGAACUGCAUGGCUGGAGUGAUGGAGGGGCAGGCGGAAUUCUUGGUGAAGCGGUGAAAUGCGUAGAUAUCAGGAAGAACACCGGCGGCGAAGGCAGUCUGCUGGAUCGCGACUGACGUUGAGGCUCGAAAGCGUGGGGAGCGAACAGGAUUAGAUACCCCAGUAGUC